GCCGAGGUAGCUCAAUAGGCAGAGCAGCUGAUUUGUAAUCAGCAGGUUGUCAGUUCGACUCUGAUCCUCGGCU
rnacentral:tRNA from 2 species